AACUACCAAACCAAGCUUGCUAUUAUCCUAUAUAUCGUUGCAAAAAUGAGUUGGCGAGCUGCGAUGGAGGCCUUGAUUUACUACAUACAUGUCUGGACACAAUGUAUAUUUGGAAUCUAUCAUCAUACAACUCAGCUUGGGUUUUUGUUGCUAGAGCACGUCUCAGUCCCUUAUUGGUAAAUUCUAUAUUCUACAGUCCGACAAUUUUUCGAACAUAUGAUAAAAUAUUUUUGGUGACCG
rnacentral:lncRNA from 1 species